rnacentral:rRNA from 1 species
UCCAGAGGUCUCGAUCGUUGUUCGGAUUUACUGGGCGUAAAGGGUGCGUAGGCGGUGGCGUAAGUCGGUUGUGAAAUUUCGGGGCUCAACCUCGAAACUGCACCCGAUACUGCGUCGCUUGAGGACUGUAGAGGAGUGUGGAAUUCACGGUGUAGCAGUGAAAUGCGUAGAUAUCGUGAGGAAGACCAGUGGCGAAGGCGACACUCUGGGCAGUUCCUGACGCUGAGGCACGAAGGCCAGGGGAGAAAACGGG